UACGUAGGGAGCAAGCGUUGUCCGGAAUCAUUGGGCGUAAAGCGCGCGUAGGCGGCCCUGUAAGUCCGUUGUGAAAGUCCAAGGCUCAACCUUUGAAAGCCGAUGGAUACUGCAGGGCUAGAGUUCGGAAGAGGCGAGUGGAAUUCCUGGUGUAGCGGUGAAAUGCGCAGAUAUCAGGAGGAACACCAAUGGCGAAGGCAGCUCGCUGGGACGAUACUGACGCUAAGGCGCGAAAGCGUGGGGAGCGAACAGG
rnacentral:rRNA from 1 species